GACGAACGCUGGCGGCGUGCUUAACACAUGCAAGUCGAACGAUGAAGCCGGAGCUUGCUCUGGUGAAUUAGUGGCGAACGGGUGAGUAACACGUGAGUAACCUGCCCUUGACUCUGGGAUAACUGCGGGAAACUGUAGCUAAUACCGGAUACGACCCUCGGAGGCAUCUCCUGGGGGUGGAAAGAAUUUCGGUCAAGGAUGGACUCGCGGCCGAUCAGCUAGUUGGUGAGGUAAAGGCCAACCAAGGCGACGGCGGGUAGCCGGCCGGAGAGGGUGACCGGCCAACCUGGGACCGAGACACGGCCCAGGCUCCUACGGGAGGCAGCAGUGGGGAAUAUUGGAAAAUGGGCGCAAGCCUGAUGCAGCAACGCCGCGUGAGGGAUGACGGCCUUCGGGUUGUAAACCUCUUUUAGCAGGGAAGAAGCGAAAGUGACGGUACCUGCAGAAAAAGCACCGGCUAACUACGUGCCAGCCGCCGCCGUAA
rnacentral:rRNA from 1 species